AGUGAACGCUGGCGGCAUGCCUUACACAUGCAAGUCGAACGGUAACAGGGUAAGCUGCCGCGUGGCGAACGGGUGAGUAAUGUAUCGGAACGUGCCCAGUCGGGGGGGAUAACUGCUCGAAAGAGCAGCUAAUACCGCAUACGACCUGAGGGUGAAAGCGGGGGAUCGCAAGACCUCGCGCGAUUGGAGCGGCCGAUAUCAGAUGAGGUAGUUGGUGAGGUAAAGGCUCACCAAGCCGACGAUCUGUAGCUGGUCUGAGAGGACGACCAGCCACACUGGGACUGAGACACGGCCCAGACUCCUACGGGAGGCAGCAGUGGGGAAUUUUGGACAAUGGGCGCAAGCCUGAUCCAGCCAUGCCGCGUGCGGGAAGAAGGCCUUCGGGUUGUAAACCGCUUUUGUCAGGGAAGAAAAGGUUCUGGCUAAUACCUGGGACUCAUGACGGUACCUGAAGAAUAAGCACCGGCUAACUACGUG
rnacentral:rRNA from 1 species